rnacentral:rRNA from 1 species
GACGAACGCUGGCGGCGUGCUUAACACAUGCAAGUCGAGCGGUAAGGCCCUUUCGGGGUACGACGAGCGGCGAACGGGUGAGUAACACGUGGGUGACCUGCCCUCCAGCUCUGGGAUAAGCCUGGGAAACCGGGUCUAAUACUGGAUAUGACUCCAUGACGCAUGUUGUGGGGUGGAAAGCCUUGUGCGGCUGAGGAUGGGCCCGCGGCCUAUCAGCUUGUUGGUGGGGUGAGGCCUACCAAGGCGACGACGGGUAGCCGGCCUGAGAGGGCGACCGGCCACACUGGGACUGAGACACGGCCCAGACUCCUACGGGAGGCAGCAGUGGGGAAUCUUGCGCAAUGGGCGAAAGCCUGACGCAGCGACGCCGCGUGAGGGAUGACGGCCUCGG